GCUGCAGCAGCACAUACUAAAAUAGGAACGAUACAGAGAAGAUUAGCAUGGCCCCUGCACAAGGAUGACAUGCAAAUUCAUGAAGCGUUCCAUAUUUUU
rnacentral:snRNA from 1 species